GCCGCAUCCGGCGCGUAGGCGUGUGUGAUACGGAGGGGGGUUGCGUUGUUCGGAAUGACGGCGCAGAAAGCGUGCGCAUGCGGUUUGUUAAGGUAGAUGUGAAAGCCCUUGGCUCAACCUAGGGAUAGCCUUUCGAAGUGGCUAACUAGAGUCUUGUAGAGGGGGGUAGAAUUCCAGGUGUAGCGGUGAAAUGCGUAGAGAUCUGGAGGAAUACCGGUGGCGAAGGCGGCCCCCUGGACAAAGACUGACGCUCAUGCACGAAAGCGUGGGGAGCAAACAGGAUUAGAUACCCGAGUAGUC
rnacentral:rRNA from 1 species